rnacentral:tRNA from 1 species
GGUUAUGGCUCAGUGGUAGAGCGCUUUCCUUGCACGUGCAAGGCCCUGAGUUUGAUCCUCAGCACCA